CUGUUAAGGGAGAAAUUAUUUAGAUAUCUAAUUAGAGAAUGAAUAUAGGUUUGUAAAUUUUUUUACAAAUUUAAUUGGAGAAUUAAUUAUAGGCUUGUAAAGGGAGAAACUAUUUUACAAUUUUAUUUAGAGAAUUAAUUAUAGGCCUGUAGCAAAUGAACUUAUUUUACAAAUUUCUUUAAUUGGGGAAAAUAUUUAUGUUAGACAUUUUAUAAUUUCCAUAUCAUAUUAAAUUUUGAUACAUAUUUUACAUAUCAGGAAUUACAUAUACAGAGUAAAUUUGGCCAGUUAAGACACAUACAUUUAUUUCACAAUUGGUCAUAUUUAUUAUUAUUUAGAAUGGUUGUUUACAUUUGGAGAACACCUCCAUUUAUUAAUGAAAUACUUAUUUUUAUAUGAAAAAAGAUCAAGAAUAUUUUUGUCUAUUUUGACAAACUCAAUUGUAUUUUUACAUUUAGAAAUAGAUAAUUUUUUUUUGUCCUUUUUGACAAUAUUUUUUAUAAAACUGCUGGUUUGCUUUUUUCUUAAUUUUUUUUUGAAAAUUUAUAUAUUAUAAGAUUCUCAAGUAGUCUUGAUACACAAGUUUUUUUUUAUAUAUAGAUUGAAUGAAUUUUAUUGUGUACAACUAUCUGCUGUUAACUAUGUGUACAUACUGACUUAUAAACAUAGAAAUAACUAAACUUAAAUAAAAU
rnacentral:lncRNA from 1 species